GCGCAGAAAAUAUAGCGACAGAAAUGCAGACAUAUGCAUUGUUUCCUGUAACGCUGGCCCAGACAAAGACGCAGUUAGUGUAAUCGAAACCAAAUGGGUAAUAGACUUUGAUUCAACUGACAUUUCAAAAACUUAUCUUGUGGAAUGUGUAUACGUGCUGCAAUUAACAGAUGAAGAAGCUGCUCUCAGAUUGGCUGAGUGGGAAAUGACUAAAGAGCCCUCUCCAGUUAUGAACACCAGACGAAUUAGGAAGCCAAAACGGCUGGAUUUUUUAGAGGUCACAGAAAAAGAAGUCCGUUCAUUUUCUCACAUUAAAAAGAUAAUUUAAGGUAAAGAAACUAUUGGCUGUGCUGAACUCAGCCCCAUGUUAAGUUUGUGGAACACAUUUACAGUGAACAAGUGAAAAUCGAUGUUUCGGUAUCUUCUGACAGUCAUGCGUUUGGUACCAGUCAAAGGUUUGGAAAUUAAAUUUUCAUAUUUUAAUAGAUUCUUCUUAACUUUUAGAUUUUGCUUAACUAAAUUUUCAAGAAUUUCUGAUUGGUGGGAAAAGCCAACUUUGUGCCUUACUGAGAUGGACUUGAACUUUAAAAAGAUGUUAAAUAUUUUUGUUCUGGUUGUACAUCACAAUGUCAGUUCCUCUAUUAAAUUUAAUAGGGAGAAAUACAUAGUUUAGGUUUAGCGAAUGAGAAUCUUUCAUAAGAAAAUUUUAUGAACAUGUAAAUGUAAUUGAAACAUGUUUGUUAAACAAUACAUUAAGUCAGCAAUGUACAGAUGUAAUGUACUGUACAUGUAAGUAAAGUCAAAUACUUGUUCAUACACAGGAAAGCCACACAUGAACCUCCUGUUAGAGCUGCAGUUUGACACGCCAUCAGCUAUCUGUAGUGAGAGCUCAGAUGACGGCAGGGUUAAGGAGCUGCAAUCCAAAUUAAGUCCUUACAAAAGGAAAAUGCCAAACUCCGUAACCUGGUAACUCGAGGAAAGUAGUUUUUUUUGCGUUUUGUUUAAUUAAUUUCCUUCUGUGCAGUGAAGUUUUGCAUCCAUCCACCCAUGUCAUGGACCUGUCAUUUGCUGUCUUUGUUUACAAUUUUUCUGGUCAGGUGUAUUGCAAUAAAGUUACAUAAAAGUCAUUGCAUUUGAUACCACAUUGGAUGAAAUCGAGACCACAGUUUAGUACAAGAAUAGUAAUCUUAUUUUGAGUCAGUAAUACAACAUUACCAUGGUUUACAAGAAAAAAAGUUAUUUUGCAUUUUGACAUCAAUAACUACAAAAUAAAUUAUUAGUGACUUUCUUAGUAGCUUACAAAAGCUGCCUGUUUUUUAAACACAGAAAUACCCGCAAUGCUGACUGAUAUGAAAAAAGUGCUGAGCAUUCAUUUUAAAAGGGGUGAAGAGAGGGAUAGUUACAACACCAAUGGCACCACCCAGAUGCUAAAUCUGGUGAAGUGCGGGAGACCAUCAACACAAGAAUUUGUGAACUGAGACACCAAAUGAAGAGCAAGACAAUGGAGUCUACAUCUACUGCAAACAACAUGAAUGUGUAGUUGAUUUUUCCGAUUAAUCAGACAUAUUCUGUUUACAAAAACAUGUUAAUCAGGAUAUAAAUUUGAUAAGUUCAGAAACAAAUAAUAUGUAUAACUUUACAGCAUUCUUCUGUAAAAAUAAUUUAAAAAUAAUUUGAUGUUUUAUAAAUUUUUCUCAAAGUUUUGCUGAAUGUUUUGUAAAUAAAGGUCUAAAUAAAUGUUUUUUAGAAACAGA